GACGAACGCUGGCGGCGUGCCUAAUACAUGCAAGUCGAACGCAGUGGGGACGGGUGAGUAACACGUGGGUAACCUCCCAUCAGAGGGGAUAACACUUGGAAACAGGUGCUAAACCGAUACUGAUGGAUGGACCCGGGGUGCAUGAGCUAGUUGGUGAGGUAACGGCGCACCAAGGCCACGAUGCAUAGCCGCCCUGAGAGGGUGUUCGGCCACGUGGGUACUGAGACACGGCCCAGACUCCUACGGGAGGCAGCAGUAGGUCAUCUUCGGCAAGGGACGAAAGUCUUACCGGGCAACGCCGCUUGAGUGAAGAAGGUUUUCGGAUCGUAAAACUCUUUUGUUAGUGAAGCGGUAUCUAACCAUAAAGCCACGGCUAACUACGUGCCAGCAGCCGCGGUAAUAC
rnacentral:rRNA from 1 species